UACAGAGGGUGCAAGCGUUGUUCGGAAUUAUUGGGCGUAAAGGGCGCGUAGGCGGUGCGGUAAGUCUGUAGUGAAAUCUCUGGGCUCAACUCAGAGUCUGCUGCAGAAACUGCCGUGCUUGAGUGUGGGAGAGGUGAGUGGAAUUCCCGGUGUAGCGGUGAAAUGCGUAGAUAUUCGGGAGGAACACCUGUGGCGAAAGCGGCUCACUGGACCACAACUGACGCUGGAGGCGCGAAAAGCUAGGGGAGCAAACAGG
rnacentral:rRNA from 1 species